rnacentral:tRNA from 3 species
GGGCGAUUAGCUCAGCGGUAGAGCACCUGCCUUACAAGCAGAUUGUCGCUGGUUCGAUCCCGGCAUCGCCCA